rnacentral:rRNA from 1 species
UACGUAGGUGGCAAGCGUUGUCCGGAAUUAUUGGGCGUAAAGAGCUCGUAGGCGGUUUGUCGCGUCGGUUGUGAAAGCCCGGGGCUUAACCCUGGGUCUGCAGUCGAUACGGGCAGGCUAGAGUUCGGUAGGGGAGACUGGAAUUCCUGGUGUAGCGGUGAAAUGCGCAGAUAUCAGGAGGAACACCGGUGGCGAAGGCGGGUCUCUGGGCCGAUACUGACGCUGAGGAGCGAAAGCAUGGGGAGCGAACAGG